GCAAAAUAAUUUUUUUUUCCCCAAAUUUUAAUUCAGUUAUCUUGCUUAGAGAUGACAGAAUUUUAUCAUUUUGCAAUGCCACAUAAAUAAUUCGAAGAAUUACACAUCCCAAUGAAUGAAGGGUAAAGUACAAAGAUCUUAAUUUAAGAGUUCACAAGAUUUGAAGAGUAUGAAGGAACUUCAUUCAAAAAGAAGCUAUAAUUGAUUGUUCACAUAUAUUUCCAACAUAAAUUUCAAAAUCAAAAACUUCAGUAUUACAAUUGCAGACCUAAUAUGCAACAGAGCCUCAUGGAGAGAUCUUUCUAUUUGAGCAAGCUCUUUCAUGAACCCACUACCUACUCUGUCUCCAACUUGAAAAGUUCAUAAUCUGCCAUUGCUCAUAAACAUUUUAGCACAUAGCAAGCCGACAGAUUAAAUCCUAAACCAACAUUUACAGACUCCCCUCUUUAGCCUCCAGGUAAUAAUUUCCAAAAUGAAUUGAACAUUUAGAAAAAGUUUCCUUAAGAUGAGCGAUUUACCAGAAUCGUGAUUGAUAGGUUCAGUAUGCAGAUAACUCAAAUGACAAUGUUCUAUCAAGUUUGCUUUAUUUCUUGCAGCAUUUCAACUACCUUCUUCAUUUUUGGCCGCUUCGCAGGUGUGCUGUCUGUGCAGAGUAAUGCCACCUUAAGAGUUGCCAGCAUUUCUCUCCUCCAACCAAAGGAAACUGUGCUGAGUUUUGCAUCAAGUAUCUGUUCUGGAGUUUCUCCUCUUGCUGGAGCUCCAUGAACCCAUUUCACCAAAUCUACCCCUUCACCAAAGUCCUCAUCAACUGGCAGUCGAGUUGUUAGGAUCUCGAGCAAUACUACCCCAUAGCUAUAGACAUUUCCUGGUGCUGUAACUUGCAUUGUAUAUGCAUAUUCUGGGGGAAUAUAGCCAAAGGAGCCUGCAACUGCACUGAUACUUGCAGUGCCUUUGGAUGGAUCUAAGAGCUUUGAUAUCUCAAUCUCCCCAACCAAGGGCCUGAAGUCAGCAUCUAAAAGGACAUUCCCUGAAGAUAUGUCAAGGUGGAUGAUUGCCACAUGAUGAAGAAAAGCCAAUCCUUCUGCUACUCCUAUGGCAAUGGAUAGCCUAGUAGGCCAGUCAGGUUCAUAAUCAGAUUGCUUGCUACACUCAUGAACAAGCUGAGCUAAUGUCCCAUUGGAUAAAUAAUGAUGCAGCAGAAGAGCAACAUCUUCAUAAAUUACGUAUCCAAUAGGUCGCACUAAAUUAUCAUGACAGAGCUUGCUCAGCCUUUCGAGCUCUCUAAUCAUCUUAUUCUGAUGAUGAAUUAUGGUCCUGUCCAUCGAUUUCAGUCUCCUCACUGAUAAUAUCAUCCCAGAAGGCAUGACUGCUUUGUAAACUGUGCUGAAAGUUCCAUUCAUGAGCUUAUUUGAAUCCUUUAGAGUUGCUUUAACAAUGGCAUCCAAAUCUAUUGCUUGUCUGAGAUUUUCAACAAAGACAUGGCCUGCUAUUAUUGUUGGCUGGUCAUUGGCUACAUCAUCAACAACCCCUGCAGUUUUGGCAGCUUUUUCUUGUCUCUCCCUCAUCAUAAACAGAAGGACAACUACAGUUACUGAGACAAAUACUGCCAAACCAGAACCAAUAACAGCUAGUAUGAUUCUGUAAGAAACCUUGUGAUGGUAAUUCUCAUGGCCAGAAGCAUAAGAAUUUCCGCAUGAUAAGCUCAAUGGUUCUCCACAGAGCCCUUUGUUCUCCAAAAAACUUGAAUUUGGACUCUUUUGAAAUAGUACAAAAGUGGGCAUUGGGCCACUUAGCAGAUUAUUUGAGAAAUUAACCUCUAUCAAGCUCAACAUGCCUUUGAAUGAUUGCGGAAUAGUACCACAAAGCUGAUUAUUAGAUACAUCCAAAGAAACCAACUUGUCAAGUUUCCCUAAUUCAGGAGGCAGUGAUCCAUGGAGAUGAUUAUAGCUCAAAUUCAAGGCUAUCUGUAAGUUCCGGAUGCGACCGAUCUCUGAAGGGAUACUUCCUGUCAAAUAGUUACUGCCCAUUUGAAAUUCCAGCAGUUUCAUGCAAUUUCCAAUCUCAUGGGGUAUCUCACCCUUUAUUGAAUUCUGACCCAAGAGCAAGUACUGCAGUCUUGACAUGUUGCAAAUUUCACUCGGUAUGGUGCCAUUUAAUCUAUUGUUGCUAAGAUCUAGCUUGGUAAGACUCCUGCACCCAAGAAUUGGUUUUGGGAUAUCUCCAAACAAACUGUUACCUGAAAGAAUCAAUUCCUGCAAAUUUACAAGCUGUCCAAGGUCAGGAGGAAUAACUCCACUAAAUCCAUUUGACGCCAGAUUUAGAAGUGUGAGAUUAGAGCACUGAGCAAACUCUGAGAUAAUAUCACCAGAUAGAUGAUUGUCGUCUGCUUCGAAAUAUGUAAGGCUACUAACAUUCCCAAUUGCCUUAGGAAUAACUCCUUCAAGAUAAUUGUUCCCAAUACGGAUAUUAGAAAGGCUUUUGCAGUUUCCGACUAGCUCAGGAAGUCCUCCACUCAAUCUAUUCUGGGUAAGAACUAAAACUUCCAACUUUCCCAUAGCAAAAAUGUUACUAGGUAUUUGCCCUUUAAGCUGGUUGGAAUGAAGGUUCAACAACUUCAACUCAGAAACCGAACCUAGAUUAUCAGGAAUUUCACCACCCAAUUCAUUCUCAUAGGCAGUGAAAACUCUUAGGCUUGUCAAAUUACCCACCCAAGAAGGAAUGGAACCAUUGAAGCUAUUACUAGAAAUUUGAAAUUCUUCUAACCUUUCUAGACCCUGAAGCUCAUGAGGUAUCUCUCCUAAAAGCAAGUUAUUGGAAAGGUUCAGCGACUUAAGGCUCCUAAGACUACCCAACUCCCCGGGAAUCAAACCUUCAAACUUAUUCGAAGACAAAUCAAGAAACUCAAGCUGAGAUAAAUUGCCAAAAGCCGAAGGAAUUGGACCAUGAAAGUUAUUGCCAGAAAGAUCAAGAUGCUUCAAAGCUUUGAGCUUAGAGAUCAAAGACACAUUACCUCGAAGGUCAAGCCUUGAAAGAGCAAGCCUUUCAACCAAUGAAUGAUUCAAAUUGCAACCAAUGCCACGCCAGUUGCAGAAAUCUGUGCCGUUGUCACCCCACCCAGGAACUUCAAGCUCUUUACCAAUGGCUAACAAUGUAGUUUGAACAUUGACCUGCGCAACCACUAUCUGGGACUUCGAUAGAAACCCAACUAGCAAAAGAUAAAACAAACAUAAAAAUGCCAUAGCGUGCUUCAACUCAAGAACUCAAAAGUUCUUCACACCCCAGCUAAGGAACAUUACUAUGUACAAAAAUCCCACUUCUCUACAAUAAUAUAUUUUUUCUUUAGAUCAAAGAAUCACAGUUUUAAAAUACCCCCCACCUCAGCGAAGACUCGGGAACUUAGAGCGAAAAGCAACUGAGAAUGUUUCGGUUUCACCAAGAACAAGCCCAAAAAUGCGAACCCCAAAUCAGUUUUCAACAUUUUAAGGGAAAACCAUUUGAGAUUUAGUGGAAUCAAAGCAAUGUAAAGCAAACAAAUCCCUCAAAUUUAGGGGCUGAGGGAAAUGCGGAAAUCAAAGAAAUGUGAUAAAAAAAAACCGGAGACCCACAUCAAAGGAAGAUAAAAGAAAGCCAAAACAAGGAGAAGAAAACAAAAAGAAGCAGAACAAGAGGCCUACAUUAUACAACAUGGGCUGUGAAUGCACCCCCUAAUUUAUCAGAGCCAAACAAAACAAGAAGAAAAAGACUCUGGAGGCAGACCCUAUGCGAGUGGAAAGAAAGUGUAUAUUAAAGAAUCAAGAAAAGAGAGUAGAUGGCACAAAGUAUUUCUUGUUACAGGUGGCGUGAGAGAGAGAGAGAGGAGGAACUGUUCUUCUGUCUCACGUAAGGCUAUAUUUUCACGAGAAAAGAGAGUGAUGAGUGAAUGAAGGCUGCAUAAAAUCUCUCCUCUACUGGAGACUGCAACUGUCAUGGGGUUUUUGAUACUUCCAAGGACAGACAGACGCUACGCUAUGUUGCUUUGCUUAGUAUAUUUCUCAAUGGGGUACCCCCGUGUUUUUU
rnacentral:misc_RNA from 1 species